AAAAGACAGAACACCCUAAAGAACCUCAAAUCCUUGAAGAAAACAACCAAAGCAACUCUACAAUACAAGACAGAUAAAAUAGCUUAUUCUCUAUCAAGAAUCAAAGCCUCACAAAAGGAACAAACUAAAUUCACUACAAGAAACGGAAAAAUGAUUGGUGUUUUUAGGGGGUGGGGGGCAUCCCAGGCAAGAAACCAAAAUGGUCAUAUCAAUCAAAAUUAUGAAAAAUACGUGAACUUGAAAAUCUGGAACUCAAACUCAAAAAUGGGUAGCUAAAAAAGUUACCAAAAAUUGCGAAAAAUCGAGA
rnacentral:misc_RNA from 1 species